GGAGUUAGCCGGUGCUUCUUCUGCGAGUAACGUCACAGAUGUAAGGUAUUAACUUACACCCUUUCCUCCUCGCUGAAAGUGCUUUACAACCCGAAGGCCUUCUUCACACACGCGGCAUGGCUGCAUCAGGGUUUCCCCCAUUGUGCAAUAUUCCCCACUGCUGCCUCCCGUAGGAGUCUGGGCCGUGUCUCAGUCCCAGUGUGGCUGAUCAUCCUCUCAGACCAGCUAGGGAUCGUCGCCUAGGUGAGCCUUUACCUCACCUACUAGCUAAUCCCACCUGGGCUUAUCCAUCAGCGCAAGGCCCGAAGGUCCCCUGCUUUCCCCCGUAGGGCGUAUGCGGUAUUAGCAGUCGUUUCCAACUGUUAUCCCCCACAAAUGGGCAAAUUCCCAGGCAUUACUCACCCGUCCGCCGCUCGUCAUCUUCAAAAGCAAGCUUUUGAAAUGUUACCGCUCGACUUGCAUGUNUUAGGCCUGCCGCCAGCGUUCAAUCUGAGCCAGAUANACAACUCAUACGAGCGGCGGUCGCGACGACGC
rnacentral:rRNA from 1 species